CUUGGUCAUUUAGAGGAAGUAAAAGUCGUAACAAGGUCUCCGUAGGUGAACCUGCGGAGGGAUCAUUACAGAGUUCAUGCCCUUACGGGUAGAUCUCCCACCCUAUGUUAUUAUUACCUUUGUUGCUUUGGCGAGCCGUCAGGCCUCGGUCAGGCUAUCGGCUCCGGCUGGUAAGCGCCCGCCAGAGGACCCAAAAACUCUGAAUGUUAAUGUCGUCUGAGUACUAUAUAAUAGUUAAAACUUUCAACAACGGAUCUCUUGGUUCUGGCAUCGAUGAAGAACGCAGCGAAAUGCGAUAAGUAAUGUGAAUUGCAGAAUUCAGUGAAUCAUCGAAUCUUUGAACGCACAUUGCGCCCCUUGGUAUUCCGAGGGGCAUGCCUGUUCGAGCGUCAUUACAACCCUCAAGCAUUGCUUGGUAUUGGGCUCCGCUGCUCACCUAGCGGGCCUUAAAAUCAGUGGCGGUGCCGUCGAGGCCCUGAGCGUAGUAAAUAUCCUCGCUAUAGGGACUCGGUGGACGCUGGCCAUUAACCCCCAACUUUCUAAGUUUGACCUCGGAUCAGGUAGGGAUACCCGCUGGACUUAAGCAUAUCAAUAAGCGGAGGAA
rnacentral:rRNA from 1 species